CUGACUCACCCCUUCUCCACUCAGGAAUGAUGUUAACUUUCUGCUGCUGCUGCUGCUGCUGCUAAGUUGCUUCAGUCGUGUCUGACUCUGUGUGACCCCAUAGACGGCAGCCCACCAGGCUUCCCCGUUCCUGGGAUUCUCCAGGCAAGAACACUGGAGUGGGUUGCCAUUUCCUUCUCCAAUGCAUAAAAGUGAAAGUGAAAUCGCUCAGUCGUGUCGACUCUUCGCAACCCCAUGGACUGCAGCCCACCAGGCUCCUCCGUCCAUGGGAUUUUCCAGGCAAGAGUACUGGAGUGGGGUGCCAUUGCCUUCUCUGUUAACUUUCUACUCAGCCUAAACUUAUCCCCGUGCUGUCUCAUGCUGUCCGCCAGCUCUUUCACUGGAAUAUGUUACCCAGUCGCCUUGGAAUCAUUACUGGGUCUCCUUGGAAUGGAAACUGUGUCAGACUGGAGGGGUACCAUCUUGGAAAGGCAUGAGUUAAGAUGUUCACUUUGACCAGAAAUCGUUAAGGCCAUUAAGAACUGUAUUGCUGGUGUACCACAUCUUUCUCCAUGGAGCACCAAAAGUUGAAGAUCCCAGGGUGGCAACAACCCAACGGCAGCAUCAGUGGAAUGCAGAAAGGACAGCAGUAUACUAUCUCUGUGAAUGGACUGAGACCACUGGUGAGUUGCACCGUGAUAACUACCUACAACCCAGUGUCCUAGUUUCUUUGAAUGUCAGGGUCCGGGUAUAAAAGAGCACAUGAGACAAAGUGGAGUAACACAGUGAAUCCAGAAUGGAUG
rnacentral:lncRNA from 1 species